GCACGCAACAGCAGCAAACUUCAACUCUCUGACUCUUAAUCAAAAUUAAGAAAUUCAAAAGGGUUUUGUUUUGAAGAAUACAAGGGGUGGUAGCUAACCUGCGCCCAAGUGGAUCUGGACUGUUCCUCCCGGUCCCGUGGACGGGGUUCUUCGUCCCUGUUGUCAUCGUGACCGAUUGCCACGUCGAUCAGACCCUUGAUCAGACCCUCCAUUGAAUACUAGAGACAGAAAGGUUUUCAGGGAGACAGAGAGAGAUCCGAAAAGUUGAAGAAGAUGAAGAAGGUGGUUGGGACUGAGGGAGUGGCGGGUAAUGGCAAACUUUGUAAAUAAGGAAAUUGUAAAGUUUGAUCGAUUUGAUUGGAUUGGAUUGGAUCGCGUUUGACAUUUUUGCCAAUUAUUUAAUGCAUUGGAUAUUAUUUCAAAUAAUAAACAAAUUUUUAAAUGCCACUCCAAUAAAAUAUUUCUCAAAUCAUUAUUCACUGAGAUUUUACAGUACAUUCAGAACAUAGGGCGUUACAGUAUAUGAUGUUAUAUAAGUAGAAAGAAGUUUUUUUAUUCAACUGUCCCUCCAUUUUAUAAUAAUAUAUAAUGUAUGUACCCGUAUUCCAAAUAAAUUGAAAAAUCUCUACAUGAUUCACAACAACCUUAGUUACAAAAUUUUAAAUGCCCCCUUAAUACAAUGAUAUUGGACGGACUUGUGCUAAGUUACACUAUAGACUAGCAAUAAUUUAAAAAAAAAUAUCAGUAGACUAUAACAUAGCACUAUAACAAAAUUAUAAAAAUAAAGGAUACAAAAUAGUUAUUUUUUCCUUUUGGGUCUAGGGAAAUUACCUAACUCACACAAUGAGUCAUUUGACCAAACACACUAUAAUGCGAGUCGAAUUUAAAAUUUUCACUAAUAAAUAAAAAAAAUUAAUAAAUUGUAAUACUAAUGACAAAUUAUAUACUUAAUAGAAUUAGGCUUUUUGGCAAUUCAGUAAUACAAUAUGAUAGUAUUCAUUUACAAGUUAGAUGUCUUAGAUUCGAAUAUCAUUGUAUUGAAAAAAUAGCCUUUUGAACUUUUUAUAUUCUUUAAUAAAAGGUUAUUCUUUUAAAAUUGUUUUAUUUUUUGCCGACACAUUUCUACCAUACGAGUGUUGACACGUGUGUGGUGUAGAAAUAAAUACAUUCUCUAUUUCCAGAUCGAAGUCGAAGUGCUUCUGCAGGUGGAUCUGGACUGUUCCUCCCGGUCCCGUGGACGGGGUUCUUCGUCCCUGUUGUCAUCGUGACCGAUUGCCACGUCGAUCAGACCCUUGAUCAGACCCUCCAUUGAAUACUAGAGAGAGAAAGGUUUUCAGGGAGACAGAGAGAGAUCCGAAAAGUUGAAGAAGAUGAAGAAGGUGGUUGGGACUGAGGGAGUGGCGGGUAAUGGCAAACUUUGUAAAUAAGGAAAUUGUAAAGUUUGAUCGAUUUUUUUGGAUUGGAUCGCGUUUGACGUUUUUGCCAAUUAUUU
rnacentral:lncRNA from 1 species